UACGGAGGAUGCGAGCGUUAUCCGGAUUUAUUGGGUUUAAAGGGUGCGUAGGCGGACAGUCAAGUCAGCGGUAAAAAUGCGGUGCUCAACGCCGUACAGCCGUUGAAACUGGCAGUCUUGAGUGGGCGAGAAGUAUGCGGAAUGCGUGGUGUAGCGGUGAAAUGCAUAGAUAUCACGCAGAACUCCGAUUGCGAAGGCAGCAUACCGGCGCCCUACUGACGCUGAGGCACGAAAGCGUGGGUAUCGAACAGG
rnacentral:rRNA from 1 species